rnacentral:rRNA from 1 species
UACGUAGGUGGCAAGCGUUGUCCGGAAUUAUUGGGCGUAAAGCGCGCGCAGGCGGCCUUUUAAGUCUGAUGUGAAAGCCCCCGGCUUAACCGGGGAGGGUCAUUGGAAACUGGGAGGCUUGAGUGCAGAAGAGGAAAGUGGAAUUCCAAGUGUAGCGGUGAAAUGCGUAGAGAUUUGGAGGAACACCAGUGGCGAAGGCGACUUUCUGGUGUGUUACUGACGCUGAGGCGCGAAAGCGUGGGGAGCAAACAGG